UACGUAGGGUGCAAGCGUUGUCCGGAAUUAUUGGGCGUAAAGAGCUCGUAGGCGGUUCGUCGCGUCGGCUGUGAAAACCCGGAGCUCAACUCCGGGCCUGCAGUCGAUACGGGCGGACUUGAGUGUUGCAGGGGAGACUGGAAUUCCUGGUGUAGCGGUGAAAUGCGCAGAUAUCAGGAGGAACACCGGUGGCGAAGGCGGGUCUCUGGGCAACAACUGACGCUGAGGAGCGAAAGCGUGGGGAGCGAACAGG
rnacentral:rRNA from 1 species